rnacentral:rRNA from 1 species
UCAAAAACACGUCUUUUUGUUUAAUAAUUUAAAGUCUAAUCUGCCCCCUGAUUAAUUAAUUAAAGGGCUGCAGUAUAUUGACUGUACAAAGGUAGCAUAAUCAUUAGUCUCUUAAUUGGAGACUUGUAUGAAAGAUUUGAUGAAAUAUAAACUGUCUCUAGUUUAUUAAUAAAAAUUAAUUUUUUAGUUAAAAAGCUAAAAUUUAAUUAAAAGACGAGAAGACCCUAUAGAGUUUUAUAUUUAUUUAUUAAUUAUAUAUAUAUAUAUAUAUAUAUAUAUAAAUUUAUUUAAUUAAUAAAAAAUAUUGUAUUGGGGUGAUAAAAAAAUUAAUUAAACUUUUUUUAAAAUUUAAAUAUAAAUAAGUAAAAAAUUGAUCCAUUAAUAAUGAUUAAAAGAAAAAAUUACCUUAGGGAUAACAGCGUAAUAUUUUUUUUUAGAACAAAUAAAAAAAAAAGUUUGCGACCUCGAUGUUGGAUUAAGAUAAAAUUUAAAUGCAAAAGUUUAAAAUUUUGAUCUGUUCGAUCAUUAAAAUCUUACAUGAUCUGAGUUCAAACCCGGAGA